rnacentral:tRNA from 1 species
GUCUUAGUAAUUUAAUUAAAAUGUUGGUCUUGUAAACCAAAAAUAAGAAACCUCUUCUAAGUCU